CCUACGAGAGGCAGCAGUGAGGAAUAUUGGUCCAUGGGCGCGAGCCUGAACCAGCCAAGUAGCGUGAAGGAUGACUGCCCUACGGGUUGUACACUUCUUUUAUAAAGGAAUAAAGUGAGGCACGUGUGCCUUUUUGUCUGUACUUUAUGAAUAAGGAUCGGCUAAGUCCGUGCCAACAGCCGCGGUAAUACGGAGGAUCCGAGCGUUAUCCGGAUUUAUUGGGUUUAAAUGGAGCGUAGAUGGGUUGUUAAGUCAGUUGUGAAAGUUUGCGGCUCAACCGUAAAAUUGCAAUUGAUACUGGCAGUCGUGAGUACAGUUGAGGUAGGCGGAAUUCGUGGUGUAGCGGUGAAAUGCUGAGAUAUCACGAAGAACUCCGAUUGCGAAGGCAGCUUACUAAACUGCCACUGACAUUGAUGCUCGAAAGUGUGGGUAUCAAACAGGAUUAGAUACCCUAGUAGUC
rnacentral:rRNA from 1 species